rnacentral:tRNA from 1 species
GAGGGUAGAGCUCAGUGGUAGAGCACGUGCUUAGCACGCACGAGAUCCUGGGUUCAGUCCCCAGUACCUCCA